AACCUGCCCUUAACUCUGGGAUAAGCCUGGGAAACUGGGUCUAAUACCGGAUAGGAGCGCCCACCGCAUGGUGGGUGUUGGAAAGAUUUAUCGGUUUUGGAUGGACUCGCGGCCUAUCAGCUUGUUGGUGAGGUAAUGGCUCACCAAGGCGACGACGGGUAGCCGGCCUGAGAGGGUGACCGGCCACACUGGGACUGAGACACGGCCCAGACUCCUACGGGAGGCAGCAGUGGGGAAUAUUGCACAAUGGGCGCAAGCCUGAUGCAGCGACGCCGCGUGAGGGAUGACGGCCUUCGGGUUGUAAACCUCUUUCAGUAGGGAAGAAGCGAAAGUGACGGUACCUGCAGAAGAAGCACCGGCUAACUACGUGCCAGCAGCCGCGGUAAUACGUAGGGUGCGAGCGUUAUCCGGAAUUAUUGGGCGUAAAGAGCUCGUAGGCGGUUUGUCGCGUCUGUCGUGAAAGUCCGGGGCUUAACCCCGGAUCUGCGGUGGGUACGGGCAGACUAGAGUGCAGUAGGGGAGACUGGAAUUCCUGGUGUAGCGGUGGAAUGCGCAGAUAUCAGGAGGAACACCGAUGGCGAAGGCAGGUCUCUGGGCUGUAACUGACGCUGAGGAGCGAAAGCAUGGGGAGCGAACAGGAUUAGAUACCCUGGUAGUCCAUGCCGUAAACGUUGGGCACUAGGUGUGGGGACCAUUCCACGGUUUCCGCGCCGCAGCUAACGCAUUAAGUGCCCCGCCUGGGGAGUACGGCCGCAAGGCUAAAACUCAAAGGAAUUGACGGGGGCCCGCACAAGCGGCGGAGCAUGCGGAUUAAUUCGAUGCAACGCGAAGAACCUUACCAAGGCUUGACAUGUUCUCGAUCGCCGUAGNAGAUACGGUUUCCCCUUUGGGGCGGGUUCACAGGUGGUGCAUGGUUGUCGUCAGCUCGUGUCGUGAGAUGUUGGGUUAAGUCCCGCAACGAGCGCAACCCUCGUUCCAUGUUGCCAGCACGUCGUGGUGGGGACUCAUGGGAGACUGCCGGGGUCAACUCGGAGGAAGGUGAGGACGACGUCAAAUCAUCAUGCCCCUUAUGUCUUGGGCUUCACGCAUGCUACAAUGGCCGGUACAAUGGGUUGCGAUACUGUGAGGUGGAGCUAAUCCCAAAAAGCCGGUCUCAGUUCGGAUUGGGGUCUGCAACUCGACCCCAUGAAGUCGGAGUCGCUAGUAAUCGCAGAUCAGCAACGCUGCGGUGAAUACGUUCCCGGG
rnacentral:rRNA from 1 species